rnacentral:pre_miRNA from 1 species
GUAAAGCUACAGUUCGGACUUCUUGAAACACUUGGCCCUCCGGGGCUUCAAGUGCAGCGAGCAUGUAGUACGAGU